rnacentral:rRNA from 1 species
UACGUAGGGGGCAAGCGUUGUCCGGAAUCAUUGGGCGUAAAGAGCGCGUAGGCGGUCCGGUAAGUCCGCUCUGAAAGUCCGGGGCUCAACCCCGGGAGGCGGGCGGAUACUGUCGGGCUAGAGUCCGGAAGAGGCGAGUGGAAUUCCUGGUGUAGUGGUGGAAUGCGUAGAGAUCGGGAGGAACACCCGUGGCGAAGGCGGUGGCCCUGGACCUGUUGCUGACGCUGAGGCGCGAAAGCGUGGGGAGCGAUCCGG